rnacentral:rRNA from 1 species
UACGUAGGCAGCAAGCGUUGUUCGGAAUUAUUGGGCGUAAAGAGUGUGUAGGCGGUGCUCUAAGUUCGGUGUGAAAUCUCCUGGCUCAACUGGGAGGGUGCGCCGGAAACUGGGGUGCUGGAGCGCGGGAGAGGAAAGCGGAAUUCCUGGUGUAGCGGUGAAAUGCGUAGAUAUCAGGAGGAACACCGGCGGUGUAGACGGCUUUCUGGACCGUAGCUGACGCUGAGACACGAAAGCGUGGGUAGCAAACAGG